UUGAACGCUGGCGGCCGGCCUCACACCUGCAAGUCGCACGGUAGCACAGAGAGCUUGCUCUCGGGUGACGAGUGGCGGACGGGUGAGUAAUGUCUGGGAAACUGCCCGAUGGAGGGGGAUAACUACUGGAAACGGUAGCUAAUACCGCAUAAUGUCGCAAGACCAAAGAGGGGGACCUUCGGGCCUCUUGCCAUCGGAUGUGCCCAGAUGGGAUUAGCUUGUUGGUGAGGUAAUGGCUCACCAAGGCGACGAUCCCUAGCUGGUCUGAGAGGAUGACCAGCCACACUGGAACUGAGACACGGUCCAGACUCCUACGGGAGGCAGCAGUGGGGAAUAUUGCACAAUGGGCGCAAGCCUGAUGCAGCCAUGCCGCGUGUGUGAAGAAGGCCUUCGGGUUGUAAAGCACUUUCAGCGGGGAGGAAGGCGAUACGGUUAAUAACCGUGUUGAUUGACGUUACCCGCAGAAGAAGCACCGGCUAACUCCGUG
rnacentral:rRNA from 1 species